rnacentral:rRNA from 1 species
UACGUAGGGGGCUAGCGUUGUCCGGAUUUAUUGGGCGUAAAGAGCGUGUAGGCGGCCAGGUAGGUCUGCUGUGAAAACUCGAGGCUCAACCUCGAGACGUCGGCGGAAACCAUCUGGCUAGAGUCCGGAAGAGGCGAGUGGAAUUCCUGGUGUAGCGGUGAAAUGCGCAGAUAUCAGGAGGAACACCAAUGGCGAAGGCAGCUCGCUGGGACGUGACUGACGCUGGAGACGCGAAAGCGUGGGGAGCAAACAGG